UACGUAGGGGGCAAGCGUUGUCCGGAAUCAUUGGGCGUAAAGCGCGUGUAGGCGGCCAGAAAAGUCCGCUGUGAAAACUCGAGGCUCAACCUCGAGAUGUCGGCGGAAACCAUCUGGCUAGAGUCCGGAAGAGGAGAGUGGAAUUCCUGGUGUAGCGGUGAAAUGCGCAGAUAUCAGGAAGAACACCCGUGGCGAAGGCGGCUCUCUGGGACGGUACUGACGCUGAGACGCGAAAGCGUGGGGAGCGAACAGG
rnacentral:rRNA from 1 species